CCAUGUGAACCUUACCUAUCGUUGCUUCGGCGGUCACGCCCCGGCGCCUCGCGGCCCACCCAGGCGCCCGCCGGAGACCCCAAACCCUCUGUCUUUAGUGGUUUUCUCCUCUGAGUGACAUAAACAAAUAAAUAAAAACUUUCAACAACGGAUCUUUGACUUGGCUCUGGCAUCGAUGAAGAACGCAGCGAAAUGCGAUAAGUAAUGUGAAUUGCAGUCGAUGAUUCACUGAAUUCUGCAUCGAAUCUUUGAACGCACAUUGCGCCCGCCCAGUAUUCUGGCGGGCAUGCCUGUUCGAGCGUCAUUUCAACCCUCAGGCCCCCAGUGCCUGGCGUUGGGGAUCGGCGCGGGCGUCCUCCAGGGGGCCUUUUUGUGCAGCGCCGAGGCAACAGUAUAGGUAUAAGUUCACAAAGGGUUUCUGGGUGCGCCGAAGCGCGUUCCAGCAAUGAUCCCUCCGCAGGUACCCUACGGAAACAUUGCUGGAACGCGCUUCGGCGCACCAGAAACCUUUGUGAACUUAUACUAUAUGUGCCUCGGCGCUGGCGGACUCUCCUGAGGCUCUGGAGACA
rnacentral:rRNA from 1 species